rnacentral:rRNA from 1 species
UGGGGAAUAUUGCACAAUGGAGGGAACUCUGAUGCAGCGACGCCGCGUGAACGAAGAAGGCUUUCGAGUCGUAAAGUUCUUUUAUAUGGGAAGAUAAUGACGGUACCAUAAGAAAAAGCCCCGGCUAACUACGUGCCAGCAGCCGCGGUAAUACGUAGGGGGCUAGCGUUGUCCGGAAUCACUGGGCGUAAAGGGUUCGCAGGCGGAAAUGCAAGUCAGGUGUAAAAGGCAGUAGCUUAACUACUGUAAGCAUUUGAAACUGCAUAUCUUGAGAAGAGUAGAGGUAAGUGGAAUUUUUAGUGUGGCGGUGAAAUGCGUAGAUAUUAAAAAGAAUACCGGUGGGGAAGGCGGCUUACUGGGCUCAUUCUGACGCUGAGGAACGAAAGCGUGGGUAGCAAACAGG